AGGAUGAACGCUGGCGGCGUGCCUAACACAUGCAAGUCGAACGUCCUGUCUCGCAAGAGGCAGGGAGUGGCGGACGGGUGAGUACCACGUGGGUCAUCUACCGUGAGGUGAGGAAUACCGGCGAGAAAUCGCCGACAAGACCGCAUAGGCUCGAUGCAAGUCGAGCAAAGCUCUUUCGAGAGAGGGAGCGCCACACGAGGAGCCUGCGCCCGAUUAGCUAGCUGGUGGAGUAACGGUUCACCAGGGCGACGAUCGGUAGCUGGUCUGAGAGGACGAUCAGCCACACUGGGAUUGAGAACGGCCCAGACUCCUACGGGGGGCAGCAGUGAGGAAUUUUCGUCAAUGGGGGCAACCCUGAACGAGCAACGCCGCGUGCAGGAAGAAGGUUUCGGAUCGUAAACUGCUUUUCUCGGGGAAGAGAACGGACGGUACCCGAGGAAUCAGCCCCGGCUAACUACGUGCCAGCAGCCGC
rnacentral:rRNA from 1 species